AGGUAACCUGCCCUCGAGAGGGGAACAACCAUUGGAAACGAUGGCUAACACCGCAUAAAGUCCCGAUGUCGCAUGACAUCGGGAUGAAAACUCCGGUGCUCGAGGAUGGGCCUGCGGCGGAUUAGGAAGUUGAUGAGGUAACGGCUCACCAAUCCUGCGAUCCGUAGCUGGUCUGAGAGGAUGAUCAGCCACACUGGCACUGAGACACGGGCCAG
rnacentral:rRNA from 1 species